rnacentral:rRNA from 1 species
GACGAACGCUGGCGGCGUGCUUAACACAUGCAAGUCGAACGGAAAGGCCCUGCUUGCAGGGUACUCGAGUGGCGAACGGGUGAGUAACACGUGGGUGAUCUGCCCUGCACUUCGGGAUAAGCUUGGGAAACUGGGUCUAAUACCGGAUAGGAGCCAUCUUUAGUGUGGUGGUUGGAAAGUUUUUUCGGUGUAGGAUGAGCUCGCGGCCUAUCAGCUUGUUGGUGGGGUAAUGGCCUACCAAGGCGGCGACGGGUAGCCGGCCUGAGAGGGUGUACGGCCACAUUGCGACUGAGAUACGGCCCAGACUCCUACGGGAGGCAGCAGUGGGGAAUAUUGCACAAUGGGCGAAAGCCUGAUGCAGCGACGCCGCGUGGGGGAUGAAGGACUUCGGGUUGUAGACUCCUUUCGCUAGGGACGAAGCUUUGUUGUGACGGUACCUAGAUAAGAAGCACCGGCUAACUACGUG